UGCGCCUUGCCACGCCCGCUCAGAAACUACAAAGGAAUUGACGGGGGCCCGCACAAGCGGCGGAGCAUGUGGAUUAAUUCGAUGCAACGCGAAGAACCUUACCUGGGUUUGACAUACACCGGAAAACCGUAGAGAUACGGUCCCCUUGUGGUCGGUGUACAGGUGGUGCAUGGUUGUCGUCAGCUCGUGUCGUGAGAUGUUGGGUUAAGUCCCGCAACGAGCGCAACCCUUGUCUUAUGUUGCCAGCACGUAAUGGUGGGGACUCGUAAGAGACUGCCGGGGUCAACUCGGAGGAAGGUGGGGACGACGUCAAGUCAUCAUGCCCCUUAUGUCCAGGGCUUCACACAUGCUACAAUGGCCAGUACAGAGGGCUGCGAGACCGUGAGGUGGAGCGAAUCCCUUAAAGCUGGUCUCAGUUCGGAUCGGGGUCUGCAACUCGACCCCGUGAAGUCGGAGUCGCUAGUAAUCGCAGAUCAGCAACGCUGCGGUGAAUACGUUCCCGGGCCUU
rnacentral:rRNA from 1 species